GCCAGGCGUGGUGGCGCAUGCCUGUAAUCCCAGCUACUCAGGAGGCUGAGGCAGGAGAAUCGCUUGAACCCGGGAGGUGGAGGUUGCAGUGAGCCAAGAUUGCGCCACUGCACUCCAGCCUGGGUGACAGAGCGAGACUCCGUCUUCA
rnacentral:SRP_RNA from 1 species